rnacentral:lncRNA from 1 species
GAGGUGCCGCUGCAUCGUGCGACGAGUGCUCGCGCGUGCGACAUCGUUCCUCGCGAGAUCGUGCGACGAGUGAAAAGAACCUCGCGAUCCGAGAAACAUUUAUUUUAGUAUAUCAACAUUUAGACAAGAUUAAGAGUGAUUUAUUUCUACCUAAUUAAGACUGGAUAACCAACAGCUAUUGGAUAAACUCUGGUGAUAAUCUCUAUUGUUUUUGGAAGAUCUCUUUACGAUUGGGGUAACAACAAUCGUUAAGGGAAAAAGAUAGAGAUACAUACAUAGUUGAAGAAGUCUGGUCGUUUCGGUGAGGGAAA